rnacentral:rRNA from 1 species
GAUGAACGCUGGCGGCGUGCCUAAUACAUGCAAGUCGAACGAAACUUCUUUAUCACCGAGUGCUUGCACACACCGAUAAAGAGUUGAGUGGCGAACGGGUGAGUAACACGUGGGCAACCUGCCCAAAAGAGGGGGAUAACACUUGGAAACAGGUGCUAAUACCGCAUAACCAUAGUUACCGCAUGGUAACUAUGUAAAAGGUGGCUAUACUACCGCUUUUGGAUGGGCCCGCGGCGCAUUAGCUAGUUGGUAGGGUAAAGGCUUACCAAGGCAAUGAUGCGUAGCCGAAUUGAGAGGUUGAUCGGCCACAUUGGGACUGAGACACGGCCCAAACUCCUACGGGAGGCAGCAGUAGGGAAUCUUCCACAAUGGGCGAAAGCCUGAUGGAGCAACGCCGCGUGGGUGAAGAAGGUCUUCGGAUCGUAAAACCCUGUUGUUAGAGAAGAAAGUGCGUGAGAGUAACUGUUCACGUUUCGACGGUAUCUAACCAGAAAGCCACGGCUAACUACGUG